UCCCCUAUCUGGGGACCAUAUAUUAAAUGGAUUUUUGGGACAGGGAGAUGGAAGAAGAGCUUGCUCUGUCCACUCCAUGCAUUGACCUGGUAUUGCAGUACCCCCAGGACCGGUGCACCUCUC